rnacentral:rRNA from 1 species
UACGGAGGGUCCAAGCGUUGUCCGGAAUCACUGGGUGUAAAGGGUGCGCAGGCGGGCUUGUAAGUCAGAGGUGAAAUCCCACGGCCUAACCGUGGAACUGCCUUUGAUACUGCAAGUCUUGAGUCCUGGAGGGGCUAUCGGAAUUCGUGGUGUAGCGGUGAAAUGCGUAGAUAUCACGAGGAACACCGGAGGUGUAGACGGAUAGCUGGACAGGUACUGACGCUGAGGCACGAAAGCGUGGGGAGCGAACAGG